rnacentral:rRNA from 1 species
AGUGAACGCUGGCGGUAGGCCUAACACAUGCAAGUCGAACGGCAGCACAGUAAGAGCUUGCUCUUACGGGUGGCGAGUGGCGGACGGGUGAGGAAUACAUCGGAAUCUACUUUUUCGUGGGGGAUAACGUAGGGAAACUUACGCUAAUACCGCAUACGACCUACGGGUGAAAGCAGGGGAUCUUCGGACCUUGCGCGAUUGAAUGAGCCGAUGUCGGAUUAGCUAGUUGGCGGGGUAAAGGCCCACCAAGGCGACGAUCCGUAGCUGGUCUGAGAGGAUGAUGAGCCACACUGGAACUGAGACACGGUCCAGACUCCUACGGGAGGCAGCAGUGGGGAAUAUUGGACAAUGGGCGCAAGCCUGAUCCAGCUAUACCGCGUGGGUGAAGAAGGCCUUCGGGUUGUAAAGCCCUUUUGUUGGGAAAGAAAAGCAGCAGGUUAAUACCCCGCUGUUCUGACGGUACCCAAAGAAUAAGCACCGGCUAACUUCGUG